UGAGUAACUUCGAGGAGUUGCGCGAUGCCAGUCCCGAAUCACACAUUCAUUUGGGGGCGCGUAAUUGGCGUUGUUUGGGAGUUGGCGCGUCGGGAAUUGACUCUGCGGCAAGUCCCCCUGACCGGGGCUGUUAGCCAGAGUGGGUGCGAGGCCCAUAGGUGCUAGGUCUCCUCCGGAUGCGAUCUCCUUGGAGUCGGGGUGCUUGGGAGUGCAGCCCUAAUCGGGUGGUAAACUCCACCUAAGGCUAAAUACGGCCGUGAGACCGAUAGCAAACAAGUACCGUGAGGGAAAGUUGCAAAGAACUUUGAAGAGAGAGUUCAAGAGUACGUGAAACUGCUCAGAGGCAAACGGGUGGGCCCUCGAAAUCCUGUGGCGGGAGGAUUCAGUCGGGAGGCGCGGACGUCGGGUCGGAAUAACACAAGAAUGGAUUCCCUGACGGGACCGUUUCGACUCGGCGGCUUCGUGUCACCCGACGCAUUUGUUUCCCGUCCGAAGGACGCCGCAACCGGUUGGGGAACGGCCUUAAGGGCGAGUGCUGGCAGGUGGCCGGUGACCAUCCCUCGUGGCGGUCGCCGGUUGUUAGCCGACUCGUCGCACGGCACGUGACCCGACCGUGGUGUCGCAAGGCCCCUCGCGGGCUCUUUCGCCUCCUCCGUUUCACGGACGCGGGCUGACGCGGCAGGAGCUUCUUCCGCUCUGCGGACGCACAGACUCACUCUGUGGUCCUGCGGACGGCGGACUCUGUUGGCUGCGACUGAUCCCGUCUCGGAG
rnacentral:rRNA from 1 species